rnacentral:tRNA from 1 species
GAGAGAGGCUGGCAGCAUCAAAGACUGCUAAUCUUCGACCCCUCAGUUAAACUCUGAGGCUCCCUCG